rnacentral:rRNA from 1 species
GACGAACGCUGGCGGCGUGCUUAACACAUGCAAGUCGAACGGAAAGGCCCUGCUUUUGUGGGGUGCUCGAGUGGCGAACGGGUGAGUAACACGUGAGUAACCUGCCCUUGACUUUGGGAUAACUUCAGGAAACUGGGGCUAAUACCGGAUAGGAGCUCCUGCUGCAUGGUGGGGGUUGGAAAGUUUCGGCGGUUGGGGAUGGACUCGCGGCUUAUCAGCUUGUUGGUGGGGUAGUGGCUUACCAAGGCUUUGACGGGUAGCCGGCCUGAGAGGGUGACCGGCCACACUGGAAGUGAGAGACGGGCCAGAGUCCUACGGGAGGCAGCAGUGGGGAAUAGUGGACAAUGGGCGGAAGCGUGAUCCAGCCAUACCGCGUGGGUGAAGGAGGCCGUCGGGGUGGAAAGGCGUGUUGUUGGGAAAGAAAAGAAGCAGGUUGAGACCCCGCGGUUCGGACGGUACCCAAAGAAUAAGCACCGGCUAACUGCGUG